ACAGAUCCAAGUGGAAAAGAAAGUCAGAAAGUUGCAACCGAGUAUGGAAAUAGUGGGGAAGGUGCUCCAAUUUGCAUAAUGAUUUAUUGUGUUAUUAUUUAUAGUUUUAAUAAAAUAAAAUAAAACUUUAUUUAAAAUUAAAAAAAAAAACAAUAAUAAUAAUGAAUAGAAAGAGUCAUGGUUAUUUAUAAAUUAUAGGCUAAAAUAAUGAGAUUUAUUAAAAUAAAGGGAAU
rnacentral:lncRNA from 1 species